rnacentral:rRNA from 1 species
AGAACGAACGCUGGCGGCGUGGAUAAGACAUGCAAGUCGAACGCGACUUAUUUUGUUAGCAAUAACAGAGUAAGUUGAGUGGCGAAAGGGUGCGUAACACGUGGGAAUUUACCAAGAAGUGGGGAAUAGCUCGACGAAAGUCGAAUUAAUACCGCAUACGAUCGCAAGAUCAAAGCCGGGGACCGCAAGGCCUGGCGCUUUUUGAGAAGCCCGCGGCCCAUCAGCUAGUUGGCGGGGUAAAAGCCCACCAAGGCUAUGACGGGUAGCUGGUCUGAGAGGACGACCAGCCACACUGGAACUGAGACACGGUCCAGACACCUACGGGUGGCAGCAGUCGAGAAUUUUUCACAAUGGACGAAAGUCUGAUGGAGCGACGCCGCGUGGAGGAUGAAGGUUCUUGGAUUGUAAACUCCUGUCACUGCAGAACAAGGAUACGUUGUGAAUAGCACGCGUAUUGAUGGUAUGCGGAGGAGGAAGGGACGGCUAACUCUGUG